GCAAAAUUGCCAAUUCAUUUGACACAUAACCUGUCAUUUGUCAUGCGUGAGCGAAUCACGCUUCAAAUGUCAUUCUGUCAAAUGAAUUGGCGAAUUUGCAUUGUUUUGGUUUAUUGUGGUAAAAUUAUUUUGGCGUGAAUGCGACAUGAAAUCAAUUUACAAAUGUGUUUUUAGUCUAGGAAGUGACAUCGGCAACCAAUCAGUAUCAAGAAUCAAAUCAUCUUAUACAGAAUUUAACGCUCUUCAGAAUGAUAAUAGCCACUUUUUAAUAUUUUUCAUGUGGAAACACCCUAAUGUACACAGAGAUGUGUGUGUACAUAUAUGCUGAAAAAAACGCAUCACAGAGAAUACACACCCCAUACAUACAAUGUGCACACACACUGUGUACUAUAUGUAUGCGGUAUGUGGAGUAGAAAACGAGAGAAAAAUUAUUUCGAGCAUUAUAAAAUAUUAAAAAGUUUCAUUAAAAAUGUUAUUCCGACGAAUAAAUACAUACAUAAUCAAA